rnacentral:tRNA from 1 species
AGGAGUGUAGCUCAGUGGUAGAGCCCUUGCCUGGUGCACACAGGGCUUGGGUUCUAUUUCCAGUACCACAA